UACGAAGGGGACUAGCGUUGUUCGGAAUCACUGGGCGUAAAGCGCACGUAGGCGGAUGUGUCAGUCAGGGGUGAAAUCCCGGGGCUCAACCUCGGAACUGCCUUUGAUACAGCACGUCUCGAGUCCGGAAGAGGUGGGUGGAAUUCCUAGUGUAGAGGUGAAAUUCGUAGAUAUUAGGAAGAACACCAGUGGCGAAGGCGGCUCACUGGUCCGGUACUGACGCUGAGGUGCGAAAGCGUGGGGAGCAAACAGG
rnacentral:rRNA from 1 species